AUACGUAGGUGACAAGCGUUAUCCGGAUUUACUGGGCGUAAAGGGCGUGUAGGCGGUCUUGCAAGUCAGAAGUGAAAUUCCUGAGCUCAACUCGGGCGCUGCUUCUGAAACUGCAGGACUUGAGUGCUGGAGGGGAUAGCGGAAUUCCUAGUGGAGCGGUAAAAUGCGCAGAUAUUAGGAAGAACACCGGUGGCGAAGGCGGCUAUCUGGACAGUAACUGACGCUGAGGCGCGAAAGCGUGGGGAGCAAACAGGAUUAGAUCCCCUGGUAGUCCACGCCGUAAACGAUGAAUACUAGGUGUAGGGGGUAUCGACUCCCUCUGUGCCGCAGUUAACACAAUAAGCAUUCCGCCUGGGGAGUACGGCCGCAAGGUUGAAACUCAAAUGAAUUGGCGGGG
rnacentral:rRNA from 1 species